ensembl:lncRNA
GUCGGGAGGAACAUUAACACCGUUCGGUCUCUGUUAUUACCCGACUGUUAUUAUUCCGCCUCAUUAUUUCACCCCCUGUGGGAUGCGUACAGGAAAAUCCCGACUGCACUGAAGAAUCGUCUGGGUGGUGUCAGGGGGUUCGCGGAAGAAAGACUAGAGCAAGACAUCAAACAAGAGCAGAGCAGAGAGAGAGAGAAAUGUGGAACGAGCGAGGGUGGACGGAGAGAAAAGGAUCUGGGCAUGUGUGUGGCCAUAAGCUGAGAAAAGCCGAGGUUGAACAGGACCUUCCGGGACCUGACUUUGGAGGAAGUGGAUCAGACCUUUACUGCUGCAGGAGGUCUGACUUCAAGAUGUCAGAGGACUUGGUUAAAUGGGUGGCACUAGAGCAAUUCAUCACCUGACUUCCAGCCGGCACAGCUUAGGGGCACCAGCGUCACCAGCCUGGUGCAGUCCCGCUGGCAGAAGACCACAUGCCUUAGUUUCCUUGGCCAAAAUACCUUCAAUCCUUUACUAACCUGUCUUUUUCUUUUCCUCUCUGCAUUCCACUGGACUGUGCAUCUGAUUCCCUGAGAGCAGGAACAAAGCCCUGAGCAGGCCUGUUAGUUCUGUUCUGGAUGUCUAAUGGAAAAUGGACCAGGUUAAGGGGCAGUGGUGGCUCAAAGUUUAAGUCUCUGGUUUACUGAUCAGAAGGUCGGGGGUUCCUCCAUUCCCACCCAGUACUGUUAGAUAUUGACUGGGAUUUGUUCAGUUAGCAGUGGAUUCAAGUCUGAAAGGCCUUCAGUGAGAAGUCUCUGUGAUCCUGACCUCAGGGUAUCAUCACCAGGUAGAAUGAGCAAGCCAAAUAAAUGGGCAGGUUUUUUGAACCUUUUGCACUGACCAUCAAGCAGGGUUGUGGAAAUGGUAGCUCAGGGGUUAAGACGUUGGACUUCUGACUGGAAGGUUGUGAGUUUAAAUCCCAGCAUUACCAAGUUGCCACUGCUGGGCCCUUGAGCAAAGCCCUUAACCCUCAACUGUUCAGUUGUAUACAAUAAAUGAGAUAAUUGUAAGUUGCUCUGGAUAAGGGCAUCUGCCCAAUGCCACAAAUAAUACACACAGAAUUCAUUAUUUC